rnacentral:lncRNA from 1 species
CAAAUAGGUGCAAUCUGAAGUUCUGUCACCAAAGGCCUCCUGCUGCAACAUCUUCAGCAGUGAAAUGAAGUAAAGAAUUUCCUCACUCUGCUGCCCUUUUGACUGCCUGCUGAAUCUGAAUGAACAUGUCCACAGAGCUCUGAAGAGACCCCCGUCCAGGAAGACGGAGCCUUCUCCAGGUGGACCUGAGCUGCUGCCACAUCUUAAACCCCACUCGACACACAGCACACCCAAGCCUUUACCUUCAAAUUAAGCGCUGACUGCGGCAAGCAUUUCUUUGCAUACCUCUCUGAUUUUCAGUGUAAAAUAAAAUACUGGUGGAGUGUGAUUCUAUCCCUCUCUCUAAAACAUGGAGACACAGAAACAACAAAUAUAGGACUGGCACUUAAACACCUGGAGCACCUGCCCUGACCUGCGUACGUAGACAUGGUACUCUGGCA